rnacentral:rRNA from 1 species
UUAGAGUUUGAUCCUGGCUCAGAUUGAACGCUGGCGGCAGGCCUAACACAUGCAAGUCGAGCGGUAGAGAGAAGCUUGCUUCUCUUGAGAGCGGCGGACGGGUGAGUAAUGCCUAGGAAUCUGCCUGGUAGUGGGGGAUAACGUUCGGAAACGGACGCUAAUACCGCAUACGUCCUACGGGAGAAAGCAGGGGACCUUCGGGCCUUGCGCUAUCAGAUGAGCCUAGGUCGGAUUAGCUAGUUGGUGAGGUAAUGGCUCACCAAGGCGACGAUCCGUAACUGGUCUGAGAGGAUGAUCAGUCACACUGGAACUGAGACACGGUCCAGACUCCUACGGGAGGCAGCAGUGGGGAAUAUUGGACAAUGGGCGAAAGCCUGAUCCAGCCAUGCCGCGUGUGUGAAGAAGGUCUUCGGAUUGUAAAGCACUUUAAGUUGGGAGGAAGGGUUGUAGAUUAAUACUCUGCAAUUUUGACGUUACCGACAGAAUAAGCACCGGCUAACUCUGUGCCAGCAGCCGCGGUAAUACAGAGGGUGCAAGCGUUAAUCGGAAUUACUGGGCGUAAAGCGCGCGUAGGUGGUUUGUUAAGUUUGGAUGUGAAAUCCCCCGGGCUCAACCUGGGAACUGCAUUCAAAACUGACUGACUAGAGUAUGG